UACGUAGGGGGCAAGCGUUGUCCGGAAUCAUUGGGCGUAAAGAGCGCGUAGGCGGCCCUGUAAGUCCGCUGUGAAAGUCAAGGGCUCAACCCUUGGAUGCCGGUGGAUACUGGAUGGCUUGAAUCCGGGAGAGGGAUGCGGAAUUCCAGGUGUAGCGGUGAAAUGCGUAGAUAUCUGGAGGAACACCGGUGGCGAAGGCGGCAUCCUGGACCGGCAUUGACGCUGAGGAGCGAAAGCCAGGGGAGCAAACGGG
rnacentral:rRNA from 1 species